GUUCUUUGAUUUAAUUGUCACUAUGAGGAUGACAAACGAAUUUAAGCGUGGAAUUUGGCCAUUGUCAUACAUCGAUUAAUUUCACCUCGGUCUUUGGCGAAUAGUGAUAAACAUAUAAAGUUAUAUAGCUUAUGUGUGGUUAGUCCGAUCGCCGUAAAAUAUGUUUUGAGUGAUAGGUUGGUGAUAUUUCAUGGUGUACAAAAGGAUUAAGGACGUGAAUACCAUGAACAAUGAAGGAAAUAAAUCGAGUUCAUCGAACCUUCUGUGAAUCUGUGAUCAACUAUUCAAACAGUGUAAUUCAACUUGGCAUAUUGGCCUACAAUCGUUUAAUAUAAAAUAAUAUUGCGAUAUGAAAGAAAUUGCUGGACCUACUUCUUCUUCAAAAAUGAAUUUUAGAGAUAAUAUAUUGACUUGAACCUAUUGAAAUCCUUUGGCUGUGACUUUACAAAUUUGGUAUCACAAGUGACAAGGCCUCCUAUGACAUUAUCAUGACUGUUCAUUGAUAUUGGAAAAAUAGUUUAAAGAUCAAUGCUUGGAUGAAUCAGGGAACUUCAUUUACAAAACAGACAAUAAAAGACCUGAUUUAUCUUAACGACAGUUUAAAUUAUAAAUCUGUGAGAUUCUAAUAUACACUCUAGUUUUUAAGAUACAUAUUAACAGUUUACUCUACAAUGAGGGGAAAAUAAUCUGAAUAUGAGAAUUUUCUCUGUUACUCAAGUUUAUGUUACAUUUAGCACCAAGUACAUUAUUGUUGCUAUCACCUUAGGGGCUGUUUACAUGAGCCUGGCUAGCCAUGCAGGCUGGCCCGGUUAACCAGGCUGAAGGCCUGGCUAGCCAGGAGGUUACCUGAGCUGGUGACUUUACAUGGAGAAAUUUCAGCCCGGUUAUCCGGGCAUCCUCUUUGACUCAAGUGAGAUCUCGGCUAGGCAGAUUCUUGUUAAAUGAUUUGUAUUAAGCUGGGUGCCUCAGUUAACAGGACUAGUCGGGCUCAUGUAAAUAGCCCCUUAGUUAUUAAGACUUGUUGGCAGAGUAAAAUAUAUCAGGCAAUAAAAUUGGUUUCAACUUGCAACAAAUCGGAUGUUGGUGCAUGUAAGUUGUUAUUAAGACUUGUUGGCAGAGUAAAAUAUAUCAGGCAAUAAAAUUGGUUUCAACUUGCAACAAACCGGAUGUUGGUGCAUGUAAGUUGUAGUGUUGUUUUUACAAAGGGAACCAAGUAAAUGAAACUUUAACAUCUAGUGUAUUCUACUAUGUACAAGUUGUACAACCC
rnacentral:lncRNA from 1 species